GAUGGAAACUGCAUCCAGCAGCCACAUCAGAUAGUGGAGAGACGCGUGACUCUUGCCAGACAGCCUGCGAUGGAAAAGAAGAAGGAAAAAGAAGAGAUGGCGAGAGCGAGGGAGAAGCGAAGUUGAAGAAGAAAGCCGAGAGCGUACGCACGGGGACCGUGGCUGGCUACGGAGGAGUGAUCGGUGGCCGCCGCUAUUGCAAAGGUUGCAGACACCGAACGCACUGCUUGGCCAUGGGGUCCGAUUGUGUCGUGCCGCAUGCCAC
rnacentral:misc_RNA from 1 species